UACGUAGGGGGCAAGCGUUGUCCGGAUUUAUUGGGCGUAAAGAGCGUGUAGGCGGCCGGGUAAGUCCGGUGUGAAAACUCGAGGCUUAACCUCGAGAUGUCAUCGGAAACCAUCUGGCUAGAGUCCGGAAGAGGAGAGUGGAAUUCCUGGUGUAGCGGUGAAAUGCGCAGAUAUCAGGAAGAACACCAAUGGCGAAAGCAGCUCUCUGGGACGGUACUGACGCUGAGACGCGAAAGCGUGGGGAGCGAACAGG
rnacentral:rRNA from 1 species